rnacentral:sRNA from 1 species
ACGUACACCUGGAUGUGUUGCACAACCAAGUCUUGCAUUCAUAUCGCGGGAUAAUCCUGCAGGAGGGAGUUCCAUUUUCUCUCGUUCUACAAUACCCAUUCAUGAUAUAACCAUACCACUCCACUCUCUACUGCUGUCCAUUCAUCUGUGCUACCGUGAAAUCCGUUAUGUCUAAACCAGACGAGGCCAGAGAACUAAGUCUUAUAUCAAAACUCGAGCUUAGAAUUGCCCUCGCAGACAGCGAUUCCAAGUUACAGUCUCUUCUCCAGACAUAUCUUGGUCCCCUCCUCCUAAAACUAGCUUCAGAAAGUCUUGCAGUGCGCAACAAAGUCAUUUCUAUCUGCCAGCAUAUCAACACACGAAUCCGGCCAGCAUCUAUCACUCUGCCUAUCGCAGCUCUUCUGAAACAGUUUAAAGAUGUUAAUGCACCGCUGGUGAGACAUUUCGAUCUUAUUUAUAUCAAGCAGGGUCUUGAUCGGAUUCCCGCCAAUGAGCGCAUCGAUCUCAUACCAGAUCUGAUCCAGGGCAUUGCCGGGGUAGGAGGUUCCAUUUCAGCUUCAUCACAAGGCUCCAUCGUGUUCAAUCUCCUACUGAGAUUGCUACCUUUAUUGAAGCUGCCACGAAGAGGUAGCGAAGAAGAUCUAGCACUGAGAACAAAACUAGGUAUCUCGAAUGAAGACGCUGCAUUCCUGGCAAAAUGGUUUUCUAAAAUCCUUCUUUUCUUACCCGGUAGAAAGGAUGCGACGAAAUGUCCCGGCCUUACUCCUUCGGAGUACAGAUUUGUGAACAGAGAUUCACCGCCUGACGAGACUUGGAAUCCGUCGGCAGCUGGUGGUCUUAACUUGAUCGAAACUAAGGUUUCUCUUGCAAAGUUUUUGGCCAGCGGGGCUUUUACCGAUUCUGAGCGCUUUAUCGGUGCUGUCAUUGCCUCUGCUGACCCAAAUAGUCGUCUUUCAGAUGUUGGGGAAGAUAUACUCAAACGUUUCCGUCCAGAUUUGGAAAACGCGGAAGUUGUGGAUGAACUAUUUACACUUUACUUUGGAACUAAAGGGCCGGAAGGGGCCCCACCAGCACGACCAGCGUUACAAGCUAAAAUUCUCGGAUUUCUAAGUAAAUCAGUAAAAGCUACCGCCGAGCCUGAGCGGAUUAAUCAGCUGCUUGAUGAAGGCCUCUUGUCGAAUGAUGAAACGGCUGCCAAGGGUCUUGAAGCGUCGAAGCUCCGGAACCAGAUAUUUUCUUUUGUGACGUGGAUAGCACGUAUGGGUUCUUCCGCGGACUUAAAUGUCGUCGCACCUCGUGCCAUUCAAGGCUUAAGAGAAUUUGUUUCCUACCAGGGAUGGCCUGAUCCUCGCGCUAGCGCACAGAACCUGAGCUCUGCUGAACUUAGUCUUCGAAGUCUUGCGUAUGAAACCAUUGGUGUGCUAGCCCCGAAAAUUGACCGAACUUCCCAGGAUGAUGAGGAACGGAUGUUUGAUCUUGAUCUGCUCCGGUGGCUAUUCACGUCCCUGAGCUCUGACACUUCAAGUGGUCAGAUAUUCGUGAGUAUCGAACAAGCUCUGGGAAGUAUCCUCAACUCUAUCGCAAAUCAUGCAGAUGAAUAUCUUCAAAAUAAAAUCCGUCCCCUUUUAAUCCACCAUAUGAACGCCGAACCCGACACGGAAGACCGCGAUACAGGGUUCCGUAUUGUCCGAAGUACGAGAUUUGCUGCUGUACGAUUUGCGAAUCGGUGCUUGCCGUACUGGGAUGUGCAGGCUCGCUGGAUAGAUCUUAUGGCUAUUGGUGGGGAGUCUAGUGGGAGAUCUGAAAUCAUAGAAGAAGGCCAGAGAGGUCUGGACCCAUACUGGUAUAGGAUGCUUAAUCCCCUCAAGGAGGGAAGUUGGGUAGCUUCGACCGUCAUGGGACCUGAUGUUCCCCCUAGAUAUCGGUUUCCUCGGUUUACAGAAUUAGUACUCUCUCUAUUCAACGAUCCGAGUAGCGAUUAUAUUGAGAUGAAUGAUGGAAAAGUUUUUAUUCCCAUGCGAUUUUCCGACACCUACAUAACCUCGUUUGCACCAGCUAUUACUUUUAUUCGCAAUAUUCUCCUUUGCGAAUCCCAUCAAUAUGCUGGCUCUCCCCUGAGUGUCGAACCGGAUUGGGAAUACCGCCUUGAUGUGGCUAUCUCAACAAAGGAAGAUUCAAGGGCGAGCCUUAAGGCUUACCUUGAACAAUGCGAUCGUGCGCCAACUUUUGAGUUCUUGAAGGCCUCUCUAGCCGGUCUCCUCUGGAAGCAUGGUCAAGGGUUAGGCCGCUGUGGUAUUCAUUUUGUUGAAAUUUGCGCGCUCGCAUCUGACAACCUUCUGGCUCCUCUCGCCAUUCACGCGUCAUCCCUUAAAGAUCCUAUACUGUCAAAUAACCUUGCGAAUCAGGACAUAGCAGCACAGGCAUUAGGCAUCUUAGCAUCUCACGUGGAUUAUCCUCCCCCCCAGUUGCAACAAUUGUUUGAAUCUUUUGUCGUUUUGAUUGAGGGUUGGAAAACUGCGGUCGGUCAAGGCAUUAAUCAGUGUCGAGGUGCGUUGAUGGCGUUGACUCAUCUAUCCUCCCGCCUUUUCUUUCGGGGUCGACUAGAUUCUAUAUCCGAAAACCGGGUCCAAAGGCUUGUAGAUAUCACGUUUGAUAUGUUGGACAAUUCUAGAGAUCUCGCACUCAAGGAGGCUGCUCAGGUGUCGAUCGGGCAACUGAGUCUCGCAUCUAUUUUACGCCCCACAUCGUUCCCUGGGGAAAAUAAAGAUGAGGCUGUGAAUAAAGUGAUAAGAAAACU